rnacentral:rRNA from 1 species
UACGUAGGGUGCGAGCGUUGUCCGGAAUUACUGGGCGUAAAGCGUGCGUAGGCGGUUCGCUGUGUCCGAUGUGAAAGCCCCGGGCUUAACCUGGGAAUGGCAUUGGAAACUGGCGGGCUUGAGUGUGGCAGAGGGGGGUGGAAUUCCGCGUGUAGCAGUGAAAUGCGUAGAGAUCGGGAGGAACACCCGUGGCGAAGGCGGCCAUCUGGACCAGCACUGACGCUGAGGCACGAAAGCGUGGGGAGCAAACAGG